rnacentral:rRNA from 1 species
CAGUGAGGGAAUUAAGGAUGGCACGUUGUCCUUGUAACGGGGAUCCAGCAGGGUGGUCACCCAGUAAUCAGCACAAGUUAGAAUGUGGGCAACUCAGCAGUCAUUGCGCAGGCAUUUUGGAGACUCUAAAUAACCUUUGGGCCGAUCGCACGUCCCCGUGACGGCGACGACUCAUUCGGAUGUUUGCCCUAUCCACUUUAGAUGUUACUUUCUGCACCUACCACGGUGACCACAGGUAACGGAGAAUCAAGGUUCGAUUCCGG